rnacentral:rRNA from 1 species
UACGGGAGGCAGCAGUGGGGAAUAUUGCACAAUGGGCGCAAGCCUGAUGCAGCCAUGCCGCGUGUAUGAAGAAGGCCUUCGGGUUGUAAAGUACUUUCAGUCGUGAGGAAGGUGUUAAGGUUAAUAACCUUAGCAAUUGACGUUAGCGACAGAAGAAGCACCGGCUAACUCCGUGCCAGCAGCCGCGGUAAUACGGAGGGUGCGAGCGUUAAUCGGAAUUACUGGGCGUAAAGGGCACGCAGGCGGUUAAUUAAGUUGGAUGUGAAAUCCCCGGGCUUAACCUGGGAAUGGCAUUCAAGACUGGUUAGCUAGAGUCUUGUAGAGGGGGUAGAAUUCCGAUGUGUAGCGGUGAAAUGCGUAGAGAUGUGGAGGAAUACCGGUGGCGAAGGCGGCCCCUGGACAAAGCUGACGCUCAUGGUGCGAAAGCGUGGGGAGCAAAC